GUGCUUGCUUCAGCAGCAUAUAUACUAAAAUUAGAAGGAUACACAAAAGAUUAGCACGGCCCUUGUCAAGGAUGACACAAAUUCGCGAAGCAUUCCAUAUUUUA
ensembl:snRNA U6 U6 spliceosomal RNA